UCGGUUAUGGUGUAGCGGCUAACAUGGCUGUCUUUCAAGACUUUCGUAAUCACUGAUUGCGCAAUUUGAUCACAGCAGCUCCGGGUUCGACUCCCGGUAACCGAA